AUAUUAUUAAUGAGAUGUGUUAAAAGUACUAAAAGUUCACAUUUGAAGUGAGCUGGCAAGUCCAGAAUAAGUCCUUUUAAUUUUUAUACCAGUGUUUAUUCCUGUUCCCCGGGAGAGGAGGCAUUUUUUUCUGUCAACACUGGGCGAUUUAAGAACUGACUUGGGGGAUGAAAAUAACUAUGGUGAGUCCACAGGGGCAAACAGUUCUGCUCCAGCCAAUCCACAUCUGUUCACCUUAAGUAGAGAGGCUGGGGUGAGUCAAUAUUUACUCAGCCUCAGUGCCUCAGAAAAGGUGAUGAAUUUUAUCUUAUGAGCUGCUUUCAGUCAUCAUGUAUAUAGUUCACACACCAUUAAUAAGAAGACUCAUUCACCAUGGAAAUAAUCUGCUAGUCUGAGAGAAUGUUGGUCCCUAAGACAAGCAUCUUGAAGUAUCAAAGUUUCAUCACAGAUGUUUACUACUUCCUGUUUCUGUGGUCUAAAAUUCACCUCAAAUGUGUAGUUAACCUGUAAGUGAUGAACCACUUCCAUCACUUCCGCAAUAAAAUUAAAACGUGUCUGCUGGGGCACCCCCUCCCCA
ensembl:lncRNA novel transcript